UACGGAGGGUGCGAGCGUUGUCCGGAAUCACUGGGCGUAAAGGGCGCGUAGGCGGCCCGUUAAGUGGCUUGUGAAAUCCCGCGGCUCAACUGCGGAGCUGCCGGGCAUACUGGCGAGCUAGAGCACGGUAGGGGCAGAUGGAAUUCCCGGUGUAGCGGUGGAAUGCGUAGAGAUCGGGAAGAAUACCAGUGGCGAAGGCGUUCUGCUGGGCCGUUGCUGACACUGAGGCGCGACAGCGUGGGGAGCAAACAGG
rnacentral:rRNA from 1 species